GUGCUGGUCUUCUGGACUAUGAGGAUGGUAGAGGACUCCAACAUUCAUAUUCGACAGAAAGUGACACUUCAUGUGAUGAUCAAGAUGGAUCCAAAGGAGAUUAUACACCAUCAGCCAACUCCCCAGCCCUGUCUCGGUCGAGUAUUGGU